UCUCAAGACAUGCAUCCCUCGAUCGAACCAGUCAAGAUCCAACUUGUGGCCAGUUAGCGAAGCAGUACCGUGCGUGUACACCGUCAGAUAUUGGUCGCACAGUUGGAACUAAUUAUUUCUUACGAUACGAUGUUUACAUACGAAGGCUACGCGGUGCUCAAUUAUAUGUAAUGAAGAAAAUUAUUUCCAAGUCGAACUGCAUUGAUUAUGAGUAUAUUACGAGUUCGAUAGUAUUAGGCUCAAAAUAUGCAAUUUUGUUAACACUGUUACAAUCCCCAGAACUUUCAUAGUUGCAAUUGAAAGUCACUUAUCUCAUUGCUAUUGCGAAGGACAAUUCACUUACUGAAGUUAGAUUUCUCUACGAUUACCUACAAGCGGAUACCAAUCUUCUAAAAAUCAUCUAUAAACGAUAAUGUAAGAUCGAUCAAAAUUAUCCUUAAAAACAUAAAAUUCAGAUUCCGGAAUUUCUCGGAGGAGAAAAACGUAGGAGAAUAAAAUCGACGAGUAAACGAGCAAAUGCAGGAAAGUUUCGAAGUAGAAUCGACGGAACGGUGAAGAAAGCAAAAGAAUGAGAGAGAAACAGAGUUGAGAUCGGCUAGGAGAGAACGACAAAGGGUGAGAAAAGAAAUGCUUAACCUCGAAAUCUGGCGAAUCGGCGGCUUUUGCUGAACUUACUCGUAAGAGCCACGCUGUGGCAACGGAUUCUUAAAACGCAUAACUUCGUGAUCAACGGGACAAUUAUCGUAACGUAUUUUCGCUUGAUUACGGUUGUUUACAUUCACAAAUGACCGUACGCGGGGCCGAAAUUACGUAGCAUCUCAAUUUCGACGAACAACGAGCACGCAGCACACGAAAGACUGGCAAGAGACAAGCGAAGCACCGUACGAGCUAAAGGGGGAGCAGGUGAGGUAGAGACGAAACUUGCCGGGUGAAUGGCGCACAGUGGGGUAUUUGCACUGGAACAUUGGACGAGAUUAUUUCAUAUUAAUUAUCGUUAUAUCGUUAUGUCAUCUUGACAAAGGUCAAACGAUUUAGCAUCGCGCAUCAUUCUAGCAUCGUCGAUUUAUUUCGCGAAAGAGUUAUGCGAUAUAACUGCUAACUUUCAAAGUAUCGCGUUACAUUG